GUUAGCUUCUAGGGUUUUGCAGAAUCCAAGGAAAACCAUGGCAUCAUCUUCUAGGGUUUUCGGAAACUAUUGCCGAACUCUAAUGGCUGCUGCAAAGAACUCCGCUGGAAAGACACCUCCGGCCACCACAACAACCGCGGCUGGAAAAGGUCGUUCUAAAGGCAUACUGAAACCUCAACCGAUUUCACCUGCUCUACAAAAAUUUGUCGGUACUUCUGAAAUCUCACGUACUGAUGCUGUUAAGAAAAUCUGGGAUUACAUCAAAACCAAUAAUCUUCAGAACCCUGCAAACAAGAAGGAGAUAAAUUGCGAUGACAUGUUGAAGACAAUAUUUGCUGGCAAGGACAAAGUUGGGUUUCUAGAGAUCGCAAAACUGCUUUCCAAUCAUUUUCAAAAGGCUUCUUAAAUUCCCCAAUUUGCAGUUCCUGUAAAACAUUAGGGGCUUUUCUUGGUACUACUGAACAUUGUAGUUAGUAACUUCUCCUUUUUGUAACCCUUCACUCUGGUAGUGAGUUGUGGUGCAUAGAUUUGAAAUCGGUAAGCUUUUGCAGUGUUUUAUGCCUGCUACUAUCCACAUUUUCUUUUUCCUGUUCUUCACUUUCGACUGAGCUGGAUUUAAUCAAG
rnacentral:misc_RNA from 1 species